AGAGUGUUUUACACUGGGGAGUUCCAAUGUGUUUAAAUUGUAAAACUUUUUCCGAGCAUUUUUGUAGCAGAACUCCAUGUUCUAAUAGCCCCGGCAAAGUUGUUUUUAAUACUUUUUCUCUACGAAUUUUCAUUAAAAUUUAAUUCCAUUUUAACUUUGUCAAUUUUCCCCAAAGAUAAAUUAAGACACACAGAGAGAUUGUCAUUUCCUGUUUGAAGUCUCAUUCCUGUGUACAAUGUCAGUCUUUUUUAUUUAGGCCUAUGCCAUUCCAUCAGGGUAAAUAACUUUCUAACUAGUCAUUUAAGAGCAACUCCCGGGAAACUGUGAUGCAAUCCCACAUAUCAGCCAGACUUCAAAAGCUGCCAGAUUAUUGUGAAAGGAGAAACACUGUUUUCGAAGGCUGCUGAUAAUGCCUAUUAGCCAGAAGAAAGAGCCUGAAUCAUUCAAAGGUUUUCCAUCUAGUAAAGAAGUGUGGUAAAAAUCUUGCCCAGAUCUGCAUGUGCUAAGCAUCUACGUAAGUUGGAGCAUCAUAUUAAUGACACCCAGUGAAGAAACGAAAGAAUGAAGUGUAAUUACUAUAUCAAAAAUCCACAGAAUGUGAAAGUAUAAAGGAAAACUCUCAGCUGCUCAGCUAAAAACUUUGGAGUUAGACAUAUGGACAGCCCACCCCAAGGGAAGAAUCAGAGGAGAAGGGACACAAGACCCCAGAAACACACAAAGCACCUUAAUAUGCAUGCUGCAUCUCUCUAAAAUUGUGGAACCUGUUUACCUGCUCUGGAGAAUGGCUGCCUGUGGCAGACAUAGGAGUUGUCCUCAUGCUGUGCUUCCUAUCUUCCACAGUAAUUGACUUGUAGCUGCAAUACAGUUACCAACCAGGAAUACAAUUUCUCAGCCCCAUGUCUUGCACCUACAGCUAAGUGUGGCCAUGUGACCAGUUUUCACCAAUUAAGUGUGAAUAGCAACAAAGUGCACCACCUUCAAUUGGAGGCUUUGAAGAAGCAGGGCAGCCUUCCCUUGCUCUCUUUCCCCUUGUUCUGGUGGGAUACAGAUGACAAUAAGGCCCUGGGUUUUGAGGUAGCCACAAGAUGCAAAAUACCUCAGACCUGAGUCACCACAAGGAAGAGAGAAGCCCACUGACAUGGAAUACCCAGCCUAGUCUACAGAUGAAUAAGAAAUAAACUUCUAUUAUGUUCGAACAUUACAGAUUUUGUUCUGUUAUAGCAGUUUAUCUCACCCUGACUAAACUGUUGCCUAUCUUCCAAGAUAGGCCCUCCUUCCCUGAAAGUGACUUUUUCAUACAUGUAAUCUGUAUUUUAAUUCAUAUUCUCCAAAGCAUAUCCACAUCUAUUCAACUAUUUUCAUGUCUUCCAUCAAUAAAAACCUCAUAUAAAUAUA
rnacentral:lncRNA from 1 species